UCUAGCAGCUCUCUAUUACGAUGACUUGUCACCAUUCAUUCCAUAAUUACAUUCUCAAGGUUAUUUCCAUCUCUACUCCUGAUGUGUCCAAAGCACAUAUAUUUACACCUAUUCAUUUCUGACAACCAAGUCUACUUUUCUCCAAUAAUAUAUUUAAUAUGAGCAUUUAUCAUCUUUUCUGCCCAGGAGAUAUGCAAGGGUCUUCGCUUGCACCACUUCUCAAAAGCUUCCGUUUUCUUCCUGUCACUAUCAAUAAUUUCUCCAAAUUCACAUUCGUAAGUUGCUACAGCAAAAAAUUAGGCAUUUCACCAGUCAAAUCUUUCUACUUUUUGAGGCAAAAUGUUUUUUUUCAGGCUUUUGUAAGGGAAGCCAUGGAUGGAUCAACUAUUCUUCAAAUUUUUCCAGUUUCUAUUGGACACGUUCUGAUUGGAUAAAUUUGAUCCCAGGUCAUCAGCCAGAAUGACAGAGGAGCGCACUGACAACAUAGUGAUACAGCAGCAGGGAAUACCGAGUAUCAGUGGAAGAAGAUUUUCCUAAAUUCAGGAUAUGCGGCAGCAGAGACGGUUUGUCCCUUGGCCUGUUGCCAGAGAUGAGAAAAGGGAACACAAGAAAAGGUAUGAAUGAAGAAAUGGGAAAGAGCAAAGAUGAACACGUGGUAGAGAAUCUGCAGCUGGCCAAGCACUGGGGAGUUUCACGUGAGCAAACAAAAAAUGCAGAGAUAGAACGUGAAAUAAAUAGC